rnacentral:rRNA from 1 species
CAGUCGAACGGCAGCACAGAGGAGCUUGCUCCUUGGGUGGCGAGUGGCGGACGGGUGAGGAAAACGUCGGAAUCUGCCUAUUUGUGGGGGAUAACGUAGGGAAACUUACGCUAAUACCGCAUACGACCUACGGGUGAAAGCGGAGGACCUUCGGGCUUCGCGCAGAUAGAUGAGCCGACGUCGGAUUAGCUAGUUGGGGGGGUAAAGGCCCACCAAGGCGACGAUCCGUAGCUGGUCUGAGAGGAUGAUCAGCCACACUGGAACUGAGACACGGUCCAGACUCCUACGGGAGGCAGCAGUGGGGAAUAUUGGACAAUGGGCGCAAGCCUGAUCCAGCCAUGCCGCGUGUGUGAAGAAGGCCUUCGGGUUGUAAAGCACUUUUGUCCGGAAAGAAAAGCACUGGGUUAAUACCCUGGUGUCAUGACGGUACCGGAAGAAUAAGCACCGGCUAACUUCGUGCCAGCAGCCGCGGUAAUACGAAGGGUGCAAGCGUUACUCGGAAUUACUGGGCGUAAAGCGUGCGUAGGCGGUUUGUUAAGUCUGAUGUGAAAGCCCUGGGCUCAACCUGGGAAUGGCAUUGGAUACUGGCAAUCUAGAAUGUGGUAGAGGGUGGCGGAAUUCCCGGUGUAGCAGUGAAAUGCGUAGAUAUCGGGAGGAACAUCCGUGGCGAAGGCGGCCACCUGGACCAACAU